rnacentral:rRNA from 1 species
UACGAAGGGGGCCAGCGUUGCUCGGAAUCACUGGGCGUAAAGCGCACGUAGGCGGACUCUUAAGUCGGUGGUGAAAUCCUGGAGCUCAACUCCAGAACUGCCUUCGAUACUGGGAGUCUCGAGUCCGGGAGAGGUGAGUGGAACUGCGAGUGUAGAGGUGAAAUUCGUAGAUAUUCGCAAGAACACCAGUGGCGAAGGCGGCUCACUGGCCCGGUACUGACGCUGAGGUGCGAAAGCGUGGGGAGCAAACAGG